rnacentral:rRNA from 1 species
AGCGAACGCUGGCGGCAGGCUUUACACAUGCAAGUCGAACGCCCCUUCGGGGGAGUGGCAGACGGGUGAGUAACGCGUGGGAAUUUGCCUUUUGGUGGGGAAUAACGCAGGGAAACUUGCGCUAAUACCGCAUAAGCCCGUGAGGGGAAAGAUUUAUCGCCAAAAGAUAAGCCCGCGUCUGAUUAGCUAGUUGGUGAGGUAAUGGCUCACCAAGGCGACGAUCAGUAGCUGGUCUGAGAGGAUGACCAGCCACACUGGGACUGAGACACGGCCCAGACUCCUACGGGAGGCAGCAGUGGGGAAUAUUGGACAAUGGGCGCAAGCCUGAUCCAGCCAUGCCGCGUGAGUGAUGAAGGCCUUAGGGUUGUAAAGCUCUUUUGUGUGGGAAGAUAAUGACUGUACCACAAGAAUAAGUCCCGGCUAACUUCGUGCCAGCAGCCGCAGUAA